AUAAUUCUCACAAUUUUUAAAGUGCCUUUAAAUUAUUACUAUAAUGGGCUAAUUUAACCCGGCCCAAACAGAAACAAAAAUAAUAAAAAUAAAAAAUUUUCAAACCUAAUUAUAAAGUUCAAAAUACAACAGUUCCAAUUACAAUACAAAUCCAAUAUGUUACAAGCCCAAAUGGCUCAAAUAACACAAACCCUAAAGCCCAACAACCGAAACUAUUUUCAAAAAAAAAAAAAACUCUAGUGCCGCACCCUAGUGCCUGCCAUCAUCAACUGCUCUGCCACCGUCAACCAUCACCUGCAAGGACAACAACCAAACACACAAGAAACAAUGCAAAACAAUAGAAAAAAUAAAAAAAAUAAUGUUGUAAAACGGCUAUAAAAAGCCUAAAAAACCUAUUAUAAUGGGGUUUUUUUGGGAAAAAAAAUUGAAUACAAAAAAAAAGUACAAAAAAGAACCAUCAAAAGACAAAGAUCAAAUAUGAACUUUAAUCAAGAAGGUAUC
rnacentral:lncRNA from 1 species